GGGGUUUUAGUUUAACCUGGUAGAACGGCCGGCUCCAGACCGGCUAACAAGGGUUCAAAUCCCUUAGACCCCA
rnacentral:tRNA from 1 species